AUUAAAUUAAAAUGCAUAUAUAUUUUAUAAUACUUGAAUCUCACAUUUUAUAAUGAUUAUUAAAAAUCUAAAAGAUUAACUGCACUUAAUUAACUGCAAAAUAAAAUUAAAUAAAAUUAAAUUAAAUAAAAUAAAAUUAAAUUAAAUUAAAUUAAAUUAAAUUAAAUUAAAUUAAAUUAAAUUAAAUUAACAAAUUCUAGCCAUAUUAGCCAUUAAGAUCUUGCCAUUAAUUUUCCAUAAAGAAUAAUGCGAUUGCUUGCAAUAAAUGUUGCCUUGCAGCUGACAGGCAAUGAUUGAAUUGCAAAAAUAAUGAGGUAUAGUUAUAGGUAUAGAAGAUAAGUACUUUGACUUUUUAUAAAAGUACACUCAAUAUAAGUACUUGUGUACUUUUACUCAACUUGAAUAUUAAAAGAGUGUGCAUAUUUUGUCCACCAUUCACAUUACAGACUGAUAUCAAACUCCAUGACAGCUGACAUUUUGUGACUGUUUGAAUCCCCCAUGAAUGGCAGCAUGUGAAAACAUCCGCUCUGCUUUUGCUGCCGCUAAAUGUCUUUGGUCGCCAUGGAGAUGUGGACCACAGUAUACUUUACAAAGCAGCUGCCUGCAGUGUCUCAGCAUUGCUAGAGAAGCUUGUGCGGGAUCUAAAGAAGCUCAUGGUCAUUUGAUUCUGUGCACUUCUAUCACAAGUGCAUCUGGAGGAAUACUGAAACUGAGGCCUGCAAAUGUUAUGACAGUAACUCUCAUCUGUAUCUGCAGAUAGGAUUAUAAAACUCUAUUAAUGAAUAACCAAAUACUGUAAAAACUGUGUGGUAAAGAAAAUAUAUUUUUUAUUUCACUGCACUUUACUUUUAAAAAGUUCACAUUCUUGACAUCACACCCCCCCCAGUCUAUUACUGUGGAUUCCUGUUUCCAGCACAGAAUAAAAAAGUAUUUUUAUCUUACAAAUCUAUGGCCUAUUCUGAUUCUACAUAUCAUUUCUUAACGAUUCCCAAUUUUGAUUCCAAUAAGGUAUAAAAAAAAAAAAAAACAUCAAACAUAUUAAUUCUGUGUCUUUUAGCAAAAACUUUUGCAGCUGAAUACCAUGAACAAAAACCAGCUGCCUAAACAACACUUACAAAAGAAACUUCCCUGUGGUUUUAACAAAAAUACCACAGCAAAAACAACUAGGUUAACUUAUAUAGAUUUCACACAUUAUUAAUCAAAUGUAAAAUAACACUGUAUAAGUUUUCUUUUUGCAAAUAUGGAUUAAUCUUCAUUAAAGUUACAGAAGUUAUUCGGUCAACAUCAGCAAUUUUCUUUUUCUUUUGUUCUUUGAUUAACAUUAAUGACACAGAUGGUGACAGGUGUAUUAUGCUGCUGUCACUUUAAGACUGAAUGCACAGAUCCAAUAUAUUAUUGCACAUGCAUUUUCUUUCUCAACUGUUUGCAUUCAGAUAAGACAAGACAGACUGUUUUUAUAAGGAUAUUUUGACAAUUUAGUAUUUGUCCACUCAAGCACAAGAAGAUGGAAAAGAGAACUUGGUUUAGUAUUUGCACACUAUAUUAGAGGUUGCUUUUUUUUCCGCAUGCGCAUUGGAUGUGUGCGAAGCACAGAAAACAGUGCACGAGUACUGAAUUCUCUUUCACAUCAUUGCACUUGAUUGGUUUGAAAUCACAUAAAAUUGUGAACACAGAAAUCGUUAAGCGGAGGCCAAAUGCGCUUCUUAUCAAAUUCAUGGUUAAAUAUGGAACCAGUCCCCGAACCCAACCCAACACAUUUUUUUUCACAACUUUUUUUUUCAAGUUUAUGAGACUAAACUUAGAUUGAGAAAUGUUAACUUGUAACUGCAAGACAUGAACCGACAACUCUGUGAAGAAAAGUCCGAGUUGUGAGACAUAAACUUGCAAUUGCAUGAAAUAAGUCUGAAUUAUCUUACAGAAGACUGGUACAAAAAGAACAAGAAACUUAAGUGCACCUGUUUGAAUUUGGUUGGUCUCAACAUAUUCCUCUAAAAGAGGAAAUGUGUAUCAUGAAGAAGACCAGGGAGGAUGUGGUCAAGUUUUGAAAUACCUCACACGCCACAGAGACAUACUCAAAUUUAUACUCACCCAGAGCUGUUUACCAUUGCAACCUGUCUGCAAACCCAUCACAGCAGCAAGGGCCUGUCCCUGCUCCACAGCUCCGCCAUAACCAGACCUUUGCUCUUACAGACAGUUUAAUGAGAGCUGGAAGCAUCACUGCAUUCUAAACAUUUCUGUAACCUUCACUCAGAACAAGGCCUACGGAGCGGUGGGUCAGAAUGGAUUAUUGGGCUUAUCAUCGGUUUCAAUGAUUUGCUUAUCAACAUGUUUGUUUACAUUCCUCUAAAGCAGCCGUGUGCAUUUGAUGGUUGACGUCACAGUGCCUAUGAUCAGUGGUGUUCAGAGCGGGAGCAACAAGAUGAAGACGGCAGAUGUAUAUUCUAUCUCUUCUGCUAAUUUAUGAGCUUCUUCAGCUCUUCAUAACAUUUAUAAACAGUUGUAGCAUGCCAGCCAUGUGAUAUAUGAGAGGAGGAAUGGAGAUAACUCAUUGUUUACUGUAAUGAUGAUGCUUAGACACUUUUGCUGGCAAUUACAUGAUUAAUGGUAUACAGUAUGUGCAUGUGUUGUUUACUAGUUAUGUCACUAGGUUUGAGUUACUACAGUGAUCAAGAUUAAUCCCACUGUUUUCUAUUUUACCAUUUAUAAUAUAAAAAAUGUUAAUGUAUCUAUUGUUAUUAUAAUUAUUAAUUGUAUGUCUAUCUUUAUCUAUUAUUUGAUAUUUUUAAUUAUUUUAUUCAUUCACCUUAUUUAUUUUCUUGGUUUGUCUAAAAAUAGUUAAAUAAAAUAUUUAAACACUGCUUGGUUAAAUCCAAACAGAAACCUCUCUUUCGCUGCUUUUUAUUUUAUUAUUUGAUCAUUUCUUUAUUAAUGUCACCUUAUUUAUUCUUGAGAUUGUCUAAAAAUAAUUAAAUGAAAUGGGAAAAAUAAUUUAAUUUAAUUUAAUUUAAUUUAAUUUAAUUUAAUUUAAUUUAAUUUAAUUUAAUUUAAUUUAAUUUAAUUUAAUUUAAUUUGAAAAAUACUUAUACAAUUAUAGUGGCACUACAAGGUUAAACUCUUUAUACUCCCUUUUUAAAAAAAAAUCUUUAUUAAUUUCACCUCAUAGAUUGUCUAGAAUAAAGUAAAAUAAAGUAAAAUAAAAUAAAAUAAAAAUAUCUAUACAAUUACAGUGGUACUGCUUGGUUAAAUGGAAACUGAAACUCCUCCUUUCCUUCUGUAAGCACUCUUUCAUUUUGUCAAAGCACUGUGCAGUAAAGCAAACAUUUCUGUUGACUCAGUACAUGUUUUAAUUUCAUUUCAGUUUAAAGAGGAAAGAUUGAAUGUUUUUUUAGUUCAGGUUCAACUCACUGGGAAUUAAAUCUGCAUGACUCUGCUGAACGAUCAGCUGCCUGUGCAGGAGAUUUCUCAUUUAUAAUGUAUGUGGUUGUACUUGCUCUAUAAUUCAACAAAGAUUAUUCUGUGACACUUCCUACAUAGUAAAAGGACACUUUCAUUGUCACUGAAUCCUGUAUGGGUGUGACAUGGCAGAAAACUUGUUUAAUAUAGCUGCAUUCCCAAAAUAGAAAAUUUUUGUACAUCCUGCCAGAUUCCCCUGAUCUGGGCCCAGUUUUCAUGUUGGAAAUCUACGAAAAAAUAGUUUAUCAUACAAAAGGUAAGGUAUAUAAUAAAAUGCAUAUAAAAUUGUCUAUAUAUAAAACUAUAAGGUGCAACAGAGGGUUAAAUAGAAAUGAAGGGUUUGUUAGACUGACAGCAAUAAUCCAACAGCUCCCCACAUGCACCUUUACCUAAUCUCUCCAUCUCGUAACAAUCCCAAACACAAUACAAUGUAAUCCCCAAUCCAUAUUUCCUCUGUCCCACGUGAAAGCAGCAAUCGCGCUGGAGUGACCAGGUUAAAUGUGAAAGGAAACAGAUUUUGUUGCGUGUAGAAACCCAGCCUAAGCCUUAAUGUCAAACAAACAAAGCUUGAUGUCACAUGGUGCCUGUAAUCCUGACGCUGGGUUCGCAGCACUAUAAAAACAUGCUGGCAUUAAUGGGACCAUUUCAGUGUCUAUUCCUAAGGCAUUAAGAAUAUACUGAGAACAAUAGCUCAAGUGGUGCCAGGCAGCAGUCUCUGACUAGGCAACACACCCAACUGGAGUUGUGCCACAUAGGCUUUGUUUAUUGCAUUACCCCCCCAACCACCCCCCCCCCCCACUCAUUCAACCAUAAUGCAGUUAGAAAAAAUUGCACUCUGCCUUUUUUUAGAAGGAUCAGACUACUUUUAAACACAUUAGAGG
ensembl:lncRNA